rnacentral:rRNA from 1 species
CCCGAUGAACCUGAAUAUCCGUUAUGGAAAAUUCAUCAUUAAUAUUAUUAUAUUUAAAAAUAUAAUAAAAAUAGUGUGCAAUUUUUCCAUAUAAGGACAUUGUAAUCUGUUAAUGUAUUAAAUAUUUAUCAAAAAAUCUAAAACAUUAGUUUAUUCAAAUUAGUUAUUUUCGAAUUUCUAACAUAGAAUAAUUGUAUUAGAUUUGAUAAAUCAUUGACAGAUUUUACUGUAUAUAAUGCUGAAAUUCUUUUUUGAAUUUUAUAAUUAUAGUAAAAAUUUAUUUUUAUUUAUAAUUAUAUGCAUUUAUAUGAUUAACAAUGCGAUAGAUUCAGGAUACCUUCGGGACCCGUCUUGAAACACGGACCAAGGAGUCUAACAUAUGUGCAAGUCAUUGGGUAUUUUUAAUAAAACCCAAUGGCAUAAUUAACUUAACUGUUUUUUAAUGGGAUUAGUUUAUAUUUUAUUAUGAAAUAAAAAUUCAAUCCCGGGGCGUUCUAUACAGUUAUGCAUAAUGAUAUUUAUAUUAUUUAUGCCUCUAACUAGAGCGUACCUUGAGCAUAUAUGCUGUGACCC